GAUGAACGCUGGCGGCGUGCCUAAUACAUGCAAGUCGAGCGAACAGACGAGGAGCUUGCUCCUCUGAUGUUAGCGGCGGACGGGUGAGUAACACGUGGAUAACCUACCUAUAAGACUGGGAUAACUUCGGGAAACCGGCGCUAAUACCGGAUAACAUGUUGAACCGCAUGGUUCAACAGUGAAAGACGGUCUUGCUGUCACUUAUAGAUGGAUCCGCGCCGCAUUAGCUAGUUGGUAAGGUAACGGCUUACCAAGGCAACGAUGCGUAGCCGACCUGAGAGGGUGAUAGGCCACACUGGAGCUGAGACACGGUCCAGACUACUACGGGAGGCAGCAGUAGGGAAUCUUCCGCAAUGGGCGAAAGCCUGACGGAGCAACGCCGAGUGAGUGAAGAAGGUCUUCGGAUCGUAAAACUCUGUUAUUAGGGAAGAACAAAUGUGUAAGUAACUAUGCACGUCUUGACGGUACCUAAUCAGAAAGCCACGGCUAACUACGUG
rnacentral:rRNA from 1 species